rnacentral:rRNA from 2 species
UGGGGAAUAUUGGACAAUGGGGGCAACCCUGAUCCAGCAAUGCCGCGUGAGUGAUGAAGGCCUUAGGGUUGUAAAGCUCUUUCGCACGCGACGAUGAUGACGGUAGCGUGAGAAGAAGCCCCGGCUAACUUCGUGCCAGCAGCCGCGGUAAUACGAAGGGGGCUAGCGUUGUUCGGAAUUACUGGGCGUAAAGGGCGCGUAGGCGGUCUUGUUAGUCAGGCGUGAAAGCCCCGGGCUCAACCUGGGAACUGCGCUUGAUACUGCAAGGCUAGAGUUCCGGAGAGGAUGGUGGAAUUCCCAGUGUAGAGGUGAAAUUCGUAGAUAUUGGGAAGAACACCGGUGGCGAAGGCGACCAUCUGGACGGACACUGACGCUGAGGCGCGAAAGCGUGGGGAGCAAACAGG